rnacentral:rRNA from 1 species
GAUGAACGCUGGCGGCGUGCCUAAUACAUGCAAGUCGAGCGAACAGACGAGGAGCUUGCUCCUCUGACGUUAGCGGCGGACGGGUGAGUAACACGUGGAUAACCUACCUAUAAGACUGGGAUAACUUCGGGAAACCGGAGCUAAUACCGGAUAAUAUAUUGAACCGCAUGGUUCAAUAGUGAAAGACGGUUUUGCUGUCACUUAUAGAUGGAUCCGCGCUGCAUUAGCUAGUUGGUAAGGUAACGGCUUACCAAGGCAACGAUGCGUAGCCGACCUGAGAGGGUGAUCGGCCACACUGGAACGGAGACACGGUCCAGACUCCUACGGGAGGCAGCAGUAGGGAAUCUGCCGCAAUGGGCGAAAGCUUGACGGAGCAACGCCGCGUGAGUGAUGAAGGUCUUCGGAGCGUAAAACUCUGUUAUUAGGGAAGAACAAAUGUGUAAGUAACUGUGCACGUCUUGACGGUACCUAAUCAGAAAGCCACGGCUAACUACGUG